rnacentral:rRNA from 1 species
GACGAACGCUGGCGGCGUGCUUAACACAUGCAAGUCGAACGGAAAGGCCCUGCUUUUGUGGGGUGCUCGAGUGGCGAACGGGUGAGUAACACGUGAGUAACCUGCCCUUGACUUUGGGAUAACUUCAGGAAACUGGGGCUAAUACCGGAUAGGAGCUCCUGCUGCAUGGUGGGGGUUGGAAAGUUUCGGCGGUUGGGGAUGGACUCGCGGCUUAUCAGCUUGUUGGUGGGGUAGUGGCUUACCAAGGCUUUGACGGGUAGCCGGCCUGAGAGGGUGACCGGCCACAUUGGGACUGAGAUCCGGCCAGACUCCUACGGGAGGCAGCAGUGGGGAAUAUUGCACAAUGGGCGGAAGCCUGAUGCAGCAACGCCGCGUGCGGGAUGACGGCCUUCGGGUUGUAAACCGCUUUCGCCUGUGACGAAGCGUGAGUGACGGUAAUGGGUAAAGAAGCACCGGCUAACUACGUG